CCUACGGGAGGCAGCAGUGAGGAAUAUUGGUCAAUGGGCGGGAGCCUGAACCAGCCAAGUCGCGUGAGGGAAGACGGUCCUAUGGAUUGUAAACCUCUUUAGGCGGGGAGCAAUGCCGGGCACGCGUGCCCGGAGGGAGAGUACCCGCAGAAUAAGCAUCGGCUAACUCCGUGCCAACAGCCGCGGUAAUACGGAGGAUACGAGCGUUAUCCGGAUUUAUCGGGUUUAAAGGGUGCGUAGGCGGAUUUUUAAGUCAGCGGUAAAAUGUCCGGGCUCAACCCGGGCCGGCCGUUGAAACUGGGGAUCUUGAGUGGGCGAGAAGGAUGCGGAAGGCGUGGUGUAGCGGUGAAAUGCAGAGAUAUCACGCAGAACUCCGAUUGGGAAGGCAGCAUACCGGCGCCCGACUGACGCUGAGGCACGAAAGCGUGGGGAUCGAACAGGAUUAGAUACCCCGGUAGUC
rnacentral:rRNA from 1 species